rnacentral:rRNA from 1 species
GUGAGGAAUAUUGCGCAAUGGAGGCAACUCUGACGCAGCCAUGCCGCGUGCAGGAAGAAGGCGCUACGCGUUGUAAACUGCUUUUAACCGGGAAGAAACCCCAGGACGUGUCCUGGGUUGACGGUACCGGAGGAAUAAGCACCGGCUAACUUCGUGCCAGCAGCCGCGGUAAUACGAAGGGUGCAAGCGUUAUCCGGAUUCAUUGGGUUUAAAGGGUGCGUAGGCGGAGCGUUAAGUCAGUGGUGAAAUCCUGCAGCUUAACUGUAGACUUGCCAGUGAUACUGGCGCUCUUGAGUGCGCUUGAAGUAGGCGGAAUGUGCCGUGUAGCGGUGAAAUGCUUAGAUAUGGCACAGAACACCAAUUGCGAAGGCAGCUCACUAAGGCGAUACUGACGCUGAGGUGCGAAAGCGUGGGGAGCAAACAGGAUUAGAAACCCGUGUAGUCC